UGGAAGGGAGCCGGGCUCAGUGCAUGGCUACGGUACCAGGAGGGAAUGUCUGCUUUGCCUUUCGGAAAAAGCCGGGAGAUUGCAUAUGUGCCAAGGCUGCAGCCUCCAGAUGCCUCCGAAGCUGAUGAUUCUUCAUGAAUCAAGAGUGGAACUGGGUUUAAAACAAAGCCAUGCGUGGAAAGAUGAAAAUCCCCAGGAAGUUUGAACCGCCGUGACCCCCUCUCCAUCAAAGAAGUCAGGCCCGAUCGACCGCGCCGAUGCACUCUCUUCUGCUGUUUUUCCUCCUAACUCCGCAGACGUCGGCUUUGGGUUCUGCCUACCGGGGAAACCAGCUGAUAUAUUUAUACCUCGGGUGGCUGAGAGCCUCAUCGUCACAGUAUUUCAUAUAUUUACGGAAAACAAACAUGUGGCUCAGUGGUGUGUUGAAUAGAAAUAUAUAUAUGUGUGUGUAUAUAUCGCUAUAUUUCUAUUUUUAGCCUAUAUCUCAAAUCCUAGAUGAUUAAAAUUGGUAUG
rnacentral:lncRNA from 9 species